UACGUAGGUGGCAAGCGUUGUUCGGAAUUAUUGGGCGUAAAGGGCGCGUAGGCGGUUUGUUAAGUCAGCUGUGAAAUCCCAAGGCUUAACCUUGGAACUGCCUGUGAGACCUCAGUACUAGAGUGUGAGAGGGGAUAGUGGAAUACCCAGUGUAGCGGUGAAAUGCGUAGAGAUUGGGUGGAACACCGGUGGCGAAGGCGGCUAUCUGGCUCACAACUGACGAUCAGGCACGAAAGCGUGGGGAGCAAACAGG
rnacentral:rRNA from 1 species